rnacentral:lncRNA from 1 species
UUUUUUGUUUUUUUUUUUUUUUUUAAUGGCUUUCAUAUGAGAAAUUUAGAGGGACAAAAAUUUAUAUUAUGUGACUUUUUUUCUGAGGAUAACCAUUGCCCUUCCUGAUAACAUCCCUUCUCCCCUCAACAAUUAGGGCUUCCAGGAGGAGUAUGGACCCCAUCUUCUCCCUGGGCAGUGGGUGUGUGAUCCCUGUGCGUGGUACACAGUGCUCAGAGAGGGCACUUUGUAGUGUUAAUCAACUCUUUGGUGAAAAUGUUUUCCAAAGGAGUAAUUGGGAGGACUUGCUGCUGGGCACCAGCUUCUGUUUGCUGGGGCUCCAGGGCUGGGGAAUGAGGUCCAGACCUGUGUGAUUCUUGUCUGAGGAUGGAGAAGAGGAAGUGCUGGAGUAUGAAGAGGGAUUUUGAAAGGUCUGUAACAUCUUCUGCCAACACCUUUUUUGGAUCAGCGCUGCGUGAACAAGCGAGAGCCUGGAAGAGCUGUGGCAUCCUUGAGGACAGCUGGGCUUGCUGGGGGGCAGCUCCAUUGGGAUGGGAGGCAGAGGAUUGCUGCCACUGCUAGGGGGAAAAAGAGAUGUUGGUGGGGUUGCUGGCUCCACAGGCUUCAACAGCAUCCUGCUUUCCCCCUGUGCUGUGCUUGUCUGUCCCCUAACUCCUCUGUGAGGUGCCAAAAUGCCUCUAUAGGGAACCAGAGAGCAAACCUAAGCCCUUCUUGCUCACCACACAUUUUUGUGUCCCCAAAUCCCUGUUAGAGUGAAUGGAGCUGGUGGGGUCUACUCAGGUUCCUCACCAUACAGGUGGUGUUGGGAGGAGAUGGUGGCUUAGCUCUUGAAGUUUCUACCUGCCCCUAGAUGUGCCCUGCCCUCCAGAAGGUGAGUUAUCCUCUCCAGGCUGUCCCCUCUACUCUCCUGAAUUCCAAACUGAGCUCCUCCUAGCAUCCUGGGGAACAAGCCAUGGGAAUAGCCAUGAAAUGCUGGAGCUGUGGGUGUUGGAGCAGGUUGAGAUGACAUUCUGGAAAUGUAAAGAACAACUGCAUGCUGAACCCAUCUGGUCACCUGCCUCCUUGUGGCAUAUCACCUGCCCACCUUGGUCCCAGUGGAGGCUCCAGAGAUAAGGGCAAGUAAUAUGUGGGUAGAGGUGGGGCAAGAGGAGCAACAGGAGGGCAGUUAAAUCAUUUGUUUUAUCUGGCUUUACCCAGAUAAAACCAGCGCAAUGCCAGCAGGGUCCACAUUCAGCAGAUCCCCAAAGGUAUUAGUGAAGCAGUGCUCAGCCUCGCUUGCAACACCUCUGCUUGAGGGAGGCAGCUGGAUGCUGGGCUCCUUUUCCACUGUGGAGCUGUACCUGUGCUUUGUAGGUGUGUUGUGUAUUUAGGUCUGGUCUUUGUAAAGGGAUUCACUGUAGCAAUCCCUGUUAUGUGCCUGUAGUCCUAUUUUCUACCUUCACUGGAUCAUGUCCUGGGCUUCAAAGCACAUGGGGAGCAGCAACCUGUUUUAUUGCAUGGUCAUAAAGCAGUGGCCCUUCUCUGCUCCUGAAUAUGAAUAAUAAAUAGCAUGUAUUAAUAAUAAAUAGUAGUGAUAUUGUUAUAUUUUUACAUGGAGGCCUGCCAGAGGCUGUUUUUGAGUAUGAGACUUGAGAUUUAGUCAGAGAAAAAGGAAGCAGAAAACAAGAAUCCUGACAGUUUUUUACCUGGCUGUGCAGCUGUGCUCAGAGAGGUGCCCUGCAGAUCAAAGGGAACCCGCUCCCGUUUUCCCCAGGUGCUGCAAUGUUUCCCCUAUUAGAGCAGAUACUGGAUAUCAGGCAGCAGUGCUAUGAACAGCACAAAUGUGUGCUUUGCUCUCCAGAGGUUAUGGCAGCCAGAAGGAUGCCAGAUUAGAUUUAGGAAAGCACAUAUGGAUGUAUUGCCUUCUUCAGCCUUGCACCAUUCCUUAAAAUCCUCCGCUGCUCUGGAGGAAGACAGAGAGCAUGGCUGUGGACAAUCACAGCUGUAGAAGCAUAAUUCCAAUUGCUGUCUCAGAGCUGCUUAGUGCUUCUGAUAAUCCUCGGGACCUGCAGUGAGUCACUACUGGAUGAAGGGAGAGCACUUUGAGGCAGGGAUACAGCACAGGGACAACUCCACAGAAGGGCUGAAAAAAUCCCACCUCUAGUUUACAUUUCACUGAGGGGAAAGAUGCUCUGAGGCAGCACCAGCACAAGCUCAGACUGAAGCCCAGACUUCCUGCUUUGGGAUUCCAGGUGCUUGGAGAGUGUCUCUGACACCAAGCCCUAUACCAUGUCUUCCCCUGAAGGCUGAGAUGCGACCAUAGCUCAUCUCUCAGCCCAGUCAGUAGCCAGAGCUACAGCUCCAGUCCACUAGCAGCGAAUCCCACCAGUUCACCUCAUAUGUUCACAGGGGUGUUUAGCUUCUGGGGAGGUAAACCAGAAAGUGACAGGAGUGAAGUCUCAUUUCAGUGUUGGGAUCUCCUCCUUUCUUUCAGUGCUUCAGCAAAAUCUCCCUCCCAUACGCUGCGUAACAGAUGGCACAUCUGUUUCUAUUUCCAGGGUGAUCUCACUAAUCACUUUUUAAGAAUCCAGCAUCCAGAGUUAAUCAACACGAGCUGAAUUGCAGUAAAGGUUCCUACAGCAGUGGAAAAAUCCUGUGCAACUCCCUUUCCUCAGGUUAUCCUCUUGGAUAGUGGGGUUUAUCCUCUGCCUGAAUUCUGCCCAAAUCCUCAUGAUCUCUGCAAAGCCAAGACCUCUUUCCAACGAGCUUCUGCCUCUUGGGGCCUUUGUCUAUUUGACUAGGCAGAUCUUCUAAUAGUUGAUUUUCUGUCUGGCAUUCAAACUAAAAGCUAAAACAGCAUGAUACAGGUUAACCCCAAAACCCUCAUAGGAAUGGAAAGGGAGAUUCCCAGAAAACUUUGUCCUCAGCCACAAGGCCUAUGAAGAGAAGCUAUCACCCACUGCAAUCCACUGCCUACAACACAGCUUCAGAGCACUCAGGAUGCAAGUUCAAAUCCCUUCUGUUUCUCAUAUGGAAAAUAUUUCAAAAAAGCUUUCCUGGAAGCAAUAUCACACCCAGUGUGCCAGGCAGCACCAGAGGCACAUGGAGAUGGAGCACAGAGAGGCAGGAGACUGGCUGUGUCUACACUGCUCAGCAAAAGACCAGGGCAAAGAGAGUGGCACCCCCGGGCUCACAGGCACUGUACCUAGAGCUUAUUUCCCAAGGAGAACAUUUAUCUUGUGUGAUAAAAGUGAUCCAAACUUGGAGUGAUCCAAACCAAAGCUUCAGAGUUAGCAGAGAGCCCAGCAGACAAUGAGCACAAAUCCAGGGCUGGAGUCCAACUCUUCUUUGCUGGUGAUGUAGCUAUGCCUGUCACAUGUGCCUACAAUGUCAGAAACAACUCCCCAGUUGACUAUGGGUCCUCAUCCUUGAUUGUUCCCGUGGUGUUGGUCAGCACACACCUAUGCUGUCCUCUGAACAAGCUCUGGCCACCAAGCCAGAGACCUCUGACCUCUGGCCACCAAGCAGUGCUGCUCUGAGCAUGGAUACUCCUGGGACAAUUUGCAAGAGCCACAUGAACAAGCUCUGUCUCAUUUCCCUCAGGAUGUUCCUACAGCAUGGUCCCACCAGACUUUCCAUCCUCCAGCUCUCCUGGAUGCUCUCAUGCCUCAGUCCAGGCCAUGCUACACAUCCUAUGGAAUUCAGCACUGGUGAGCUAUAGCAUCAUCUUCCUGGGCAUUUUAUGCUGGGAUAAAAAAACCACCAAACUUACAAAAAUACUUGUUUGCUCUUAGGCCCAUAGGCACAACACACAGGGCCAAGCUAAGCUGGAGUCAAGUGCCAUGCUAUUCUGUCAAAUUCAGCCUCUUCUUUGUUGGCUGCUCUGAAACAACUGCUCUUGUCCACUACCUACCAGAUCCCAGGCCUGUUCUUUGGGGCAGGCAGUUUAGUCCUGCUGGUAUUCCUGCUCCAUCUGGUCCAAUAAACAGUAUAAAUAAUUCUACCCUGAGCAAGAGGAUUAGGAGAGCCCCGUUGCAGGCUGUCCUGUGGUUUGGCCACGCUCUGAAGACACAGCAUGUCGGGUAAAUCCUCGCUCCAGCUGAGGUUUCCUUUUGAGAUCAGCUUAAAAAAAAAAUAAAAAGAACCUCAAACCAACAAAGCAAGCCAUUUUUAUGUUUCUAAUUUUUGGGGCUAAUUUUGAUGAAUGGUUGCACACCAAUUGGCAGAUAGCUUCAGUCAACCAGAAAUGGUGCUUUUCGGUGAGUAAGCUGUACUUCAGACAUCAUUGCCUCUACUUGUACCCCUUUCCCACUGCCACAGGAGAGGGAAGGGAUACUGCAGAUACUGUUUCAUGUGUGAUCCUUGCUGCCCUGGCUCUAAUAUAGCCACCAAAUGGUCUCACCCUCUGCCUGCUCUUCUGCUUGGAGACAUUAAGGACCUUCAGCAGUUACCAUCUCUCACUCUGGGCAGCUUCUUCCUCAGCUGCACCUCUCCCACUGCUGUCAGAAUGGCCAUGGCAAGUCUGUCAAGACUUGCUCACUUAAUUUCUGUAUUGAGGAUUUUUUAGCUACUAUCAUUGGUGUUUCUAUGUCCUCCUUUCAGGACACACAUCUUAAUGAGCCCAUCAGGUUAUGCCAUCUGCUAUCUGUUAGAAUGUAAACACCUUCUUAGGGACAGGUACACGCACAACAAUGGGAAUGUUUGUUACCAGGACAUGGCAAUGGGGCUCCACAGGUGGUGUAGAAUGGCCACACGUCACAGCAUCAUAGAAUGGCUUGAGUUGGAAGGGAUCUUAAAGAUCAUUUGGUUCCAACCCCCAUCAUGGGCACAGAUGCCAGCCGCUAGAUCAGGCUGCUCAUAGACCUGGGGUGUCCUCUGAGGACAAACCACUUGGCCCUGAAUUUUUGCCACCUCCAUCACCAUUCGCACCAGCAUCUCCCAGAACCCACUGGAGCCAUAACAGCCUGGUUAAAGGGUGGCUGGGGCACUUGUAGGGUGAGCACAGCCGAUUGGGCAGCCACAUGUUUCUGGGGGUGCUUCUUUUAAAGCUGAUUUAUUUUAGUAGGACUUUUACGGAGUGUAGCUGGCAGUGGUGGCCAGCAGACAUGGCAGUGUCCAAGCUCUGGUUAGAGACUGACAAGGAAACUCUGGGGCUGGCAGCAGGCACCUGGAACCCUUUGGGGACCACCUGGUUAACCCUGCUUUGGCUGACCUUGCUCAAGUAGAGGACUUGGCCUAGGUGAUCUCCAGAGGUGCCUUUCAACCUCAGCCUUUCAGUGAGACUUAUUUAAACCUCUGACAUAAAUCACAGAUUGGAUAUUCAGGUAUAUAUAUUCAAGUAUUCCAUAAAUUCUCAACUCAGUACAGGAAAUUUGGCUUUCAAGUCCAACAGCACACUGAACCUUUACCAGGCUGUAAGGCCAGAGUUUCAUGAGAGUUUUAACAACCUAACAAACCAGGGAAGUACAAAACAUGCCAUGCAAGUCAGAUGUUUCUAUGCAAUAACCAUAUGAUCCAAAGUCUCUCAAACAAAACCAUUUGCUGUCAAGACAGAGUGGAGCCAAAUCAGUGUGAUUCAAGGUUUUGGAGUCAAUUUUGUAAAAUGUCAGAAGGAGUUAGUUAGUGCCACCCAGUGUUGGCAGCUAGAAAGGGAAGGUUAAAUAUGGUUACAACUGGGUGUAGCCCAGUGAAACAGGAAAAAAAAAAAUCCAGCUCUUGCUUUCUGUAUCAGGGGUGAGUAAUGCCACAGAAGCUGGGCAGCACCAGUAUUCAGGGAUAGGUGUCCCAGAGCUGAGAUGAAGUUUAGCCAUCUUGUUAAAAAAAAAA